CCUGCUAGAUUUAGUUAUUUAUAUACCUUACAUAGAUAAUUCCUUCCAGUAAAUUACUAAUUGUUUUGCACAUUAGCAAUUAUUAAGGUUGUUCUUGUACCUAGUAUUUUUACCUUGAAAAAUCGAAGCAAAAAAACCAAACAUGAUGCUCAAGAUUAAGAGGGUUCCUACACUUGUUUCCAACUUCCAAAAAGAAGAGGCUGAAGAAACUCUUGCUCGUGGUGCUGGCUGUGGCCGCAAUUGCCUCCGAAACUGCUGCCUUCCAGGUAACUUUUUUUUUAACUGUCUGUCUUAAUUUGCUCUUUUCCGUUCUUUUUUAAAAAAAUAAAAAAAUUAUUUUGCAUAAUAUUAGCCUGAGAUGAGUUUAAAUGGAGUAAUAUAGUCAAAUUGAUUAACUUUUCAGUUAAAUCAGAGUAGAUUACUGUAAAGUUAAAUUUUUAACUACUCAAAUGGUGAAAAUUUUACUGUUUUAGUGUUGGUUAAAGUUUUACUUAGUGUGAAUCUAGGGAAGCAAAAAGUGCCAAACAUUUUGGAACAGAUAAUUGAGGCUAUUUGUAAUUGGGUUUAAUCUGUAGCUGAUUUAGCAGAAUAUUGAUUUUGUUAUUUGGAUUGUGAAAAGGGUCAAAGCUGCCGCUGUAUGCUUCCAAGAAUUUGAAAAAGGGCAAGUCUGUUGCCGAUGAAACCAAGGAACCUCCUGUUGACUUCUUGGAAUCCCUCCUUCUUGGGGAAGUAAGUCUGAACUUUUAAUUGGUUACUUAGUAUUUUAUGUAGUUUUUCUUUUAUUAUUUUAAAUAUCAAAUUUUAGAUGAAUAUUUUGAUUUUAGCUCUGAACUUGAUGUCAAUUUUUGAUUAUAUGUAGUGGGAGGAUCGUCAGCAGAAAGGUCUCUUUCGCUAUGAUGUCACUGCUUGCGAAACCAAGGUCUUUACUCUUUUCCCUUUUACCAUUUUGUCUUUUGCUUACUGUGUAACUGAUAAGUUGUUUUUCAAUUUUAGUUGAUGCCUACACGUUUUACUUUAGUAGUUUCCAGUUAGAUAGACUUGAUUUUGAAAUAUAUAUAUUUUUUUAAAUUAUUCUAUAGAUAAUGACAGGAGUGGAAAGGGAAACUUUAAUAUGGUAGAAAAUCAUGUAGUUCUGGAAAGGUUGUAUCAUGUCUUUUGAAGGUUAACGGUUAAACAUGGUCAAUGAUAUUAUGAGCUGCAAAUGCAUAAUACCUUUUUGUUCCAACAAUUCUCGGGUUUAUAGACUAUAUGUAUAUCCCGGGUCGUUUGGUACAUGGACUAAUUUAUCCCACCUGGGAAAUGGUAUAAAAUAAUCCUUAGGUUGAUGGGAUAAGGUGGGAUAAGAUUGGGAUAUCCAGUAUGAAGUCUGGGCUUAAAUUUAUACCAUGUUUGAUUGAUGGUAUAAAUUUAUCCUAUACUAACCAAACGAAGUAUAAAUUUAAUCUCACAACUUAUCCCAUCUUAUCCCGCGUACCAAACGACCCCUAUAUGUAUAAGGUUAAGGAAGAAGUAGUCAUUUAUGUCUUACUUAACAUGUUGCGGUAAAGUGUUGAUACAAAUGAUAUGCUCUUGAAUUUUCAAAACCCAGAAUGAAGUGAAUGAAAACUAGACUGGCUUUUUGUAUAGGUGCAUGGAAGUAUGUGCUGUGAUAUAGUAGUACAUAGCUCUUAUCAUGUUUUUACUUCAGAGUCUUGCUGGUUUUGAUUAAUGUGAUGUGAGGAUACUUUUUAUGUGAAUCUGCCUAAAUUUAAUUGAAAAUAAAUUGGUAUAGGUGAUUCCUGGAGAACAUGGUUUCAUUGCUCAAUUGAAUGAAGGAAGGCACCUCAAGAAGAGGCCAACUGAGUUCCGCGUUGAUAAGGUGCUGCAGCCUUUUGAUGGAAGCAAGUUCAACUUCACUAAAGUUGGUCAGGAGGAGUUGCUCUUUCAGUUUGAA
rnacentral:lncRNA from 1 species